rnacentral:piRNA from 1 species
UAUAUAGAUGUGUACUCGGAGAGCUGAAGGC